rnacentral:rRNA from 1 species
CUGGUUGAUCCUGCCGGCGGCCACCGCUAUUGGAAUUCGAUUAAGACAUGCGAGUCGAGAGUCGCAAGGACUCGGCGGACCGCUCAGUAACACGCGGAUAACAUGCCCUUGGGUGGGGGGUAACCUCGGGAAACUGAGAAUAAUACCCCAUAGAUCUAGAAAGCUGGAAUGCUUUUAGAUCGAAAACUCCGGUGCCCAAGGAUUGGUCUGCGGCGUAUCAGGUUGUAGUGGGUGUAACGGACCCCCUAGCCUAUGACGCGUAAGGGCCUUGAGAGAGGGAGCCCUGAGAUGGACUCUGAGACAUGAGUCCAGGCCCUACGGGGCGCAGCAGUCGCGAAAACUUCACAAUGGGGGAAACCCCGAUGAGGGAAUUCCAAGUGCCAGCACAUUGUGUUGGCUGUUCUCUGGUCUAAAAAACCGGAGAAGUAAGGGCCGGGUAAGACGGGUGCCAGCCGCCGCGGUAAUACCCGCGGCCCAAGUGGUGGUCGAUAUUAUUGAGCCUAAAACGUCCGUAGCCGGUCUUGUAAAUCCUUGGGUAAAUCGACCAGCUCAACUGUUCGAAGUCCGGGGAGACUGCAAGACUUGGGAUCGGGAGAGGUGAGAGGUACUUCUGGGGUAGGGGUAAAAUCCUGUAAUCCUAGAAGGACCACCGGUGGCGAAGGCGUCUCACUAGAACGAAUCCGACGGUGAGGGACGAAGCCCUGGGGCGCAAACGGGAUUAGAUACCCCGGUAGUCCAGGGUGUAAACGCUGCGGGCUUGGUGUUGGGGGUCCUUUGAGGGCGCCCAGUGCCGGAGAGAAGUUGUUGAGCCUGCUGCUUGGGGAGUACGUCCGCAAAGGAUGAAACUUAAAGGAAUUGGCGGGGAAGCACCGCAACGGGAGGAGCGUGCGGUUCAAUUGGAUUCAACGCCGGA